UUAAGGGUCUUGGGAUAGUUGGAGUUAAGCGUCCUUGGGUUUGAAUAGUACUGGGCUGGGUGACCUCCCAGGAAGUCCAAACUCAGAAGCUUACAUUUGGUAUCAGAGGGGUCUCAGGUCCGACUCUGUUGGUUGGCUAGGGGCAUCACACCACAUGUUGAUUGACAUCUGGCUGGUCCAGUUUGUUCCCGCUGGGCUCGACCCGAGGGGUAGGGUGUCAAGAGAGCGGGGCUCUCGGGAGAGCUGCGGCUCUCAGCUUCCGUUCACGAGGGCGUGAACUUGCAGGGAAGCGUGGUGGAUUGUAAGCAACCAAAGGGAACGACUUGAGAGACGAUCCAUGGGGUUCAAAUAUAAAGGGAAAGGGCCCAUGAAUAAGAGUGCACCCCCUUUUCCAAUCGGUUAAGGGUCUUGGGAUAUUUUGGAGUUAAGCGUCCUUGGGUUUGAAUAGUACUGGGCUGGGUGACCUUCCAGGAAGUCCAAACUCAAGAGCUUACAUUUGGUAUCAGAGGGGUCUCGGGUCCGACUCUGUUGGUUGGCUAGGGGAAUCACACCAUAUGUUGAUUGACAUCUGGCUGGUCCAGUUUGUUCCCGCUGGGCUCGACCCGAGGGGUAGGGUGUCAAGAGAGCGGGGCUCUCGGGAGAGCUGCAGCUCUCAGCUUCCGUUCACAAGGGCGUGAACUUGCAGGGAAGCGUGGUGGAUUGUAAGCAACCAAAGGGAACGACUCGAGAGACGAUCCAUGGGGUUCAAAUAUAGAGGGAAAGGGCCC
rnacentral:lncRNA from 1 species